GCCUCCUUUCUAGGCGAACCGCCUUGUAAGCGGUAGGUCGCGAGUUCAAGUCCCGCAACCGGCACCA
rnacentral:tRNA from 1 species